AACUUUGAUAAGUAAAAUGAAGCCCAAACUAAAAACUCUCUCUUCUCUCUCUCUCUCAUAUACAAUCGGUCUCCUCUCUCUCCUCGUAUCUCUCACUCUCUCAAUCUCACAGAUACGCACACACAUCCCCCACCGCUUCGACCUACGCCACAGGCAUCUCCUCCGUCUCACCUCUCGCUCCCUGUCUACCCCCUUCUAUCACUCAGCGCGCACGGCGAGGCUGCAUAUGCAGCGCCGCCUCCGUCGCUACGCCGCCGCCGCAGUCACCAUCUCCACGCCUUCCAUCUGUAAUUUUCGGCCUUGCUACCUCUCGUUUUGCUACCCGAGGUCGUUGUAGUUGCUGCUCUCGUCGCAGUUGCGCUCCUACUGGCGGUGCUACAGGUGCCGCUGCAACUGCCCCUGCUGUCGAAGAAAAGAAGGUGCGCCCCUGUUGUCGAAGAAAAGAAGAAAAAAAGAUCUGAGAUUCGCCCUCCAUUGACAGAUUCAAAUCUCAUCUGUAGAGAAAGUUUAGACUUCAACAACAAUCUAAAAAUAGACUUUUGAAAGAAUAUUUUUUUAAAAGAACAAAGCUUUCUUCAACAAAAAUAACAGAAGAUUUUUCGAAAAAAUUUGAUAGAAUAAUA